AUCAGCCUUUCGUGUGCGAUUCUGUGGAGUUUGAGGAGCUUAACACCUUCAUGCUUUGCAUAUUCGUGCUCUUGGGUGUACUUGCCCGUGUGGUUGGUUAACAUCAAUUUCGGGCACCAUAAAAUGGCUGGAGGAAUGUAGCUUUGAUCUUGUAUUGAAGUGUUAUAGCCUUCGGUAGAUGUGGUGAUCGAGAUUGAGGGUUGCAACGGAUACCUUUCGGGGCUACCUGUCUGAUCUCUGAUCGUUGCUUUGGUGCUGAAAGCGUGCUUAUAGUUAUCAAAGUCGAUGGUCAAUAGGUUAGAAUGGGUUAAAUUCGUUAAGGAUGUUGACGUAAUGGCUUU
rnacentral:rRNA from 1 species